rnacentral:rRNA from 1 species
AUUGAACGCUGGCGGCAUGCCUUACACAUGCAAGUCGAACGGUAACGCGGGGCAACCUGGCGACGAGUGGCGAACGGGUGAGUAACACAUCGGAACGUGCCCAGUAGUGGGGGAUAGCCCGGCGAAAGCCGGAUUAAUACCGCAUACGACCUACGGGUGAAAGCAGGGGAUCGCAAGACCUUGCGCUAUUGGAGCGGCCGAUGGCAGAUUAGGUAGUUGGUGGGGUAAAAGCCUACCAAGCCGACGAUCUGUAGCUGGUCUGAGAGGACGACCAGCCACACUGGGACUGAGACACGGCCCAGACUCCUACGGGAGGCAGCAGUGGGGAAUUUUCCGCAAUGGGCGAAAGCCUGACGGAGCAAUACCGCGUGAGGGAGAAUGCCUAUGGGUUGUAAACCUCUUUUGUACGGAACGAAACGGUCCUUUCUAAUACAAGGGGCUAAUGACGGUACCGUAAGAAUAAGCACCGGCUAACUACGUG